rnacentral:rRNA from 1 species
AGCUAAUACCGCAUAACGUCGCAAGACCAAAGAGGGGGACCUUCGGGCCUCUUGCCAUCGGAUGUGCCCAGAUGGGAUUAGCUAGUAGGUGGGGUAACGGCUCACCUAGGCGACGAUCCCUAGCUGGUCUGAGAGGAUGACCAGCCACACUGGAACUGAGACACGGUCCAGACUCCUACGGGAGGCAGCAGUGGGGAAUAUUGCACAAUGGGCGCAAGCCUGAUGCAGCCAUGCCGCGUGUAUGAAGAAGGCCUUCGGGUUGUAAAGUACUUUCAGCGGGGAGGAAGGGAGUAAAGUUAAUACCUUUGCUCAUUGACGUUACCCGCAGAAGAAGCACCGGCUAACUCCGUGCCAGCAGCCGCGGUAAUACGGAGGGUGCAAGCGUUAAUCGGAAUUACUGGGCGUAAAGCGCACGCAGGCGGUUUGUUAAGUCAGAUGUGAAAUCCCCGGGCUCAACCUGGGAACUGCAUCUGAUACUGGCAAGCUUGAGUCUCGUAGAGGGGGGUAGAAUUCCAGGUGUAGCGGUGAAAUGCGUAGAGAUCUGG